rnacentral:rRNA from 1 species
UAGGGAAUCUUCGGCAAUGGACGAAAGUCUGACCGAGCAACGCCGCGUGAGUGAAGAAGGUUUUCGGAUCGUAAAACUCUGUUGUUAGAGAAGAACAAGGACGUUAGUAACUGAACGUCCCCUGACGGUAUCUAACCAGAAAGCCACGGCUAACUACGUGCCAGCAGCCGCGUUAAUACGUAGGUGGCAAGCGUUGUCCGGAUUUAUUGGGCGUAAAGCGAGCGCAGGCGGUUUCUUAAGUCUGAUGUGAAAGGCCCCGGCUCAACCGGGGAGGGUCAUUGGAAACUGGGAGACUUGAGUGCAGAAGAGGAGAGUGGAAUUCCAUGUGUAGCGGUGAAAUGCGUAGAUAUAUGGAGGAACACCAGUGGCGAAGGCGGCUCUCUGGUCUGUAACUGACGCUGAGGCUAGAAAGCGUGGGGAGCAAACAGG